GGGGCAUCCCGGAGGCAGGAAAGGCUUCGGCCGGACAGGGAUGGGCAUGCGGCGCAUUAGGCAGUAGGCGGGGUAACGGCCCACCUAACCGACGAUGCGUAGGGGUUCUGAGAGGAAGGUCCCCCACACUGGUACUGAGACACGGACCAGACUCCUACGGGAGGCAGCAGUGAGGAAUAUUGGUCAAUGGUCGGGAGACUGAACCAGCCAAGCCGCGUGAGGGAUGAAGGUACAGAGUAUCGUAAACCUCUUUUGUCAGGGAACAAAGGCGGGGACGUGUCCCCGGAUGAGUGUACCUGAAGAAAAAGCAUCGGCUAACUCCGUGCCAGCAGCCGCGGUAAUACGGAGGAUGCGAGCGUUAUCCGGAUUUAUUGGGUUUAAAGGGUGCGCAGGCGGUCUGUUAAGUCAGCGGUCAAAGCCCGGGGCUCAACCCCGGCCCGCCGUUGAAACUGGCAGUCUCGAGUUGGAGAGAAGUAUGCGGAAUGCGCGGUGUAGCGGUGAAAUGCAUAGAUAUCGCGCAGAACUCCAAUUGCGAAGGCAGCAUGCCGGCUCCACACUGACGCUGAGGCACGAAAGCGUGGGUAUCGAACAGGAUUAGAUACCCUGGUAGUCCACGCAGUAAACGAUGAAUGCUGGCUGUCCGGG
rnacentral:rRNA from 1 species